GACGAACGCUGGCGGCGUGCUUAACACAUGCAAGUCGAACGGUGACCUCGAGAGCUUGCUCUUGGGCGAACAGUGGCGAACGGGUGAGUAACACGUGCGUAACCUGCCACUGACUCUGGAAUCAGCGCUGGAAACGGCGCCUAUUACCGGAUAUGACACACCCUCGCAUGGGGAGUGCGUGGAAAGUUUUUCGGUCUGGGAUGGACUCGCGGCCUAUCGGCUUGUUGGUGAGGUAAUGGCUAACCAAGGCGAUGACGGGUAGCCGGCCUGAGGGGGCGACCGGCCACACUGGGACUGGGACACGGCCCAGAGUCCUACGGGAGGCAGCAGUGGGGAAUAUUGCACAAUGGGCGAAAGCCGGAUGCAGCGACGCCGCGUGAGGGAUGACGGCCUUCGGGUUGUAAACCUCUUUCAGCAUGGAAGAAGCGCAAGUGACGGUACCUGCAGAAGAAGCACCGGCUAACUACGUGCCAGCAGCCGCCGUAACAC
rnacentral:rRNA from 1 species